UUUAGGGAUUUGAUCUUACCGGCUAGUGCAGUAUUUAAUCAAUAAAUUAUAUCACAAAGCAACAUUUUUGAAGCUACAUUUUAAACAAAACAAGCUCAUGAAAUUUUACCUAAAAGUAAUACUUUAAAUUCUCAUCUAUGGUACAAAUUUAUUACAUUAUGACUUUAAACCACUUUAAAAGAAACAUUUCAUGCACACAGAUUUAGACUGGUUACAAAGAAUAUGAAAGGAACUUACAUUUUGUACAUUUUUGAACAGCAGCU